CUUUGCUUUUCUUUUUCUAUUUUUUUCUAUGCUCUAUGGUUUCAAGGGUGAUUUCUUUUUCUUGUUUCUUUUCAUAUUUUUACCCUUUCAUAGAAACUCACUUUUCCAAGUUUCUAAUCAACUUUUCACUUUACUCUCCCCAACUUUAGAUUCCAAAACCAAAUUUAUUCAAUAAUGCUCCCUACUUAGACAUAAGCAAAAGGCAAAAUUUUGCAAACAACUCGGUUUGAGGUUUCAACUGAUACGAAAGAAAUUAGGAUUCAUUUAU
rnacentral:lncRNA from 1 species